UUAGCAGCAGCUAUGGAGAAGGUGAGCGUAGCAGGAAGGAAUAGUAGGUGGCACUUACGUGAAGGUUGUCUGUGUGUGAAGAAUGAGUUAGCAGCAGCUAUGGAGAAGGUGAGCGUAGCAGGAAGGAAUAGUAGGUGGCACUUACGUGAAGGUUGUCUGUGUGUGAAGAAUGAGUUAGCAGCAGCUAUGGAGAAGGUGAGCAUAGCAGGAAGGAAUAGUAGGUGGCA